AGGCGGUUAGCUCAGUGGUAGAGCACCUCGUUGACACCGAGGGGGUCACUGGUUCAAAUCCAGUAUCGCCUA
rnacentral:tRNA from 1 species